rnacentral:rRNA from 1 species
CCUACGGGAGGCAGCAGUGAGGAAUAUUGGUCAAUGGCCGAGAGCCUGAACCAGCCAAGUCGCGUGAGGGAGUACUGUCCUAAGGGUUGUAAACCUCUUUUGUCGGGGAGCAAAAACGCGCUGCGGAGUCGUGUUGAGAUUACCCGAAGAAAAAGCAUCGGCUAACUCCGUGCCACCAGCCGCGGUAAUACGGAGGAUGCGAGGUUUUUCCGGAUUUAUUGGGUUUAAGGGGUGCGCAGGCGGCGUGUCAAGCAAGCGGUAAAAUAGGGGGGCUCAACCCCGGCCGGCCGUUGCAACUGGCGGGCUUGAGUUCACGCGAGGUAGGCGGAAUGCGUGGUGUAGCGGUGAAAUGCAUAGAUAUCACGAAGAACUCCGAUUGCGAAGGCAGCUUACCAGUGCGCGACUGACGCUGAGGCACGAAAGUGUGGGUAUCGAACAGGAUUAGAUACCCUAGUAGUC